UGCCCACUCUGAUAGCAGUUGCCCUUAUGCAGGCCCUGGACUCUGCAGCUGCAUCUCAAUGAGCCUAAGUGGGCUGCCUGGAAUGGUUUCCCUGGUAACAGGGUUCUGGCUGAGAGGGACAUUGAUUACCCGAGGAAUGAGUUUCCACUUGGAGGGAGACUGGGUGAAUGCAAAAGCAGAGAAUUUGGAGGGGGAGGCGGGGUCCAAAGGGGCAAGGCAGUCACUAAAGACCUGGGAGGGGUCCCAAGCUUCUCCCUUUCUGAGAUGGAGGAAAGUACCAUGUAAAUUUGUGGCCUGAGGACUUGAAAAACGAGAGGCUAGAGUUGAAGUAUCCCAUCCACUCCCGACUCAUGCAUGCUCCUUAUCAGGAGAACUGGACUGGUUGUCAAGAGGAAAAGUCUCCGGGUUCAUCUGCCUCACCUUGUUCAGCAUCACCCCCUGGGACUUGUGUGCCAACCGUUAAUGUCUCACCACAGACAGUGGAUUCCUUCUGCCCUCUCAGCGUUGCACUGACAUCUUACUCAACUAAAAGCCUGAAACCUUCCAGAGAUUCUUGAGUCCUUGUUCCUUCAAAAAGCACAUAACCUUGUUAAUGGGUGUUACAUUUUUAUCUCACAAGAGUCACUUGCAGCAGAGAGGAAAUGUUUAGUAAACAUUCAUCAUUCAGAUACAUAUGUGCAUGUACAUAUGUAUAUGCAUAUACAGAGAAAGGACUGGCAUCCAGAAUAUAAAGAACACUAACAAAUCAAUCAAAACAUUGCAGCCCAAAUGAUGAGCAAAGGAUAUGAACAGGACUGCUGCAAUUGUUUCAAGGAGUGACUGAGGUUCUUUCUGAGGCUGACUUUGACUCACACAGAGUCCGACAUGUCCCUUCAAUUAUUUCCCGAUGGAGAGCAAGUUUUCAUGUGAGUUCUUAAGAUGGGACCAAGUCAUCAAAGUGGGACUCAUCUUCUAGGAAUAA